GACGAACGUUGGCGGCGUGCUUAGCACAUGCAAGUCGAACGGAAAGGCCCUGCUUUUGUGGGGUGCUCGAGUGGCGAACGGGUGAGUAACACGUGAGUAACCUGCCCUUGACUUUGGGAUAACUUCAGGAAACUGGGGCUAAUACCGGAUAGGAGCUCCUGCUGCAUGGUGGGGGUUGGAAAGUUUCGGCGGUUGGGGAUGGACUCGCGGCUUAUCAGCUUGUUGGUGGGGUAGUGGCUUACCAAGGCUUUGACGGGUAGCCGGCCUGAGAGGGUGACCGGCCACAUUGGGACUGAGAUACGGCCCAGACUCCUACGGGAGGCAGCAGUGGGGAAUAUUGCACAAUGGGCGGAAGCCUGAUGCAGCAACGCCGCGUGCGGGAUGACGGCCUUCGGGUUGUAAACCGCUUUCGCCUGUGACGAAGCGUGAGUGACGGUAAUGGGUAAAGAAGCACCGGCUAACUACGUGCCAGCAGCCGCGGUGAUACGUAGGGUGCGAGCGUUGUCCGGAUUUAUUGGGCGUAAAGGGCUCGUAGGUGGUUGAUCGCGUCGGAAGUGUAAUCUUGGGGCUUAACCCUGAGCGUGCUUUCGAUACGGGUUGACUUGAGGAAGGUAGGGGAGAAUGGAAUUCCUGGUGGAGCGGUGGAAUGCGCAGAUAUCAGGAGGAACACCAGUGGCGAAGGCGGUUCUCUGGGCCUUUCCUGACGCUGAGGAGCGAAAGCGUGGGGAGCGAACAGGCUUAGAUACCCUGGUAGUCCACGCUGUAAACGGUGGGUACUAGGUGUGGGGUCCAUUCCACGGGUUCCGUGCCGUAGCUAACGCUUUAAGUACCCCGCCUGGGGAGUACGGCCGCAAGGCUAAAACUCAAAGGAAUUGACGGGGCCCCGCACAAGCGGCGGAGCAUGCGGAUUAAUUCGAUGCAACGCGUAGAACCUUACCUGGGUUUGACAUGGAUCGGGAGUGCUCAGAGAUGGGUGUGCCUCUUUUGGGGUCGGUUCACAGGUGGUGCAUGGCUGUCGUCAGCUCGUGUCGUGAGAUGUUGGGUUAAGUCCCGCAACGAGCGCAACCCUUGUUCACUGUUGCCAGCACGUUAUGGUGGGGACUCAGUGGAGACCGCCGGGGUCAACUCGGAGGAAGGUGGGGAUGACGUCAAGUCAUCAUGCCCCUUAUGUCCAGGGCUUCACGCAUGCUACAAUGGCUGGUACAGAGAGUGGCGAGCCUGUGAGGGUGAGCGAAUCUCGGAAAGCCGGUCUCAGUUCGGAUUGGGGUCUGCAACUCGACCUCAUGAAGUCGGAGUCGCUAGUAAUCGCAGAUCAGCAACGCUGCGGUGAAUACGUUCCCGGG
rnacentral:rRNA from 1 species